GAUCAUGGCUCAGAUUGAACGCUGGCGGAAUGCUUUACACAUGCAAGUCGAACGGUAGACGGGGGCAACCCUCGAGAGUGGCGAACGGGUGAGUAAUAUAUCGGAACGUGCCCAGUCGUGGGGGAUAACGUAGCGAAAGUUACGCUAAUACCGCAUACGAUCUACGGAUGAAAGCGGGGGAUCGCAAGACCUCGCGCGAUUGGAGCGGCCGAUAUCAGAUUAGGUAGUUGGUGAGGUAAAGGCUCACCAAGCCAACGAUCUGUAGCUGGUCUGAGAGGACGACCAGCCACACUGGAACUGAGACACGGUCCAGACUCCUACGGGAGGCAGCAGUGGGGAAUUUUGGACAAUGGACGCAAGUCUGAUCCAGCCAUUCCGCGUGCAGGACGAAGGCCUUCGGGUUGUAAACUGCUUUUGUACAGAACGAAAAGGUCUCUAUUAAUACUAGGGGCUCAUGACGGUACUGUAAGAAUAAGCACCGGCUAACUACGUG
rnacentral:rRNA from 1 species